CAAAGUGCUAGGAUUACAGGCUCGAGCCACCAUGCCCAGCGUAGAAAAUAAUUUUUUAAAAAAUUAAAAAGAAUCAGUCUGCUGUGUUGAGGAGACUGCAGGGGGCAAGGGCAGAGAUACAGAGACAUUAGCAGGCUGUGGCAAUUAUCCUAUUCAGGCUAAGGAUGGCUUGGAGCAGGGUGAUGGAGUGGAGGUGAAGGGAAGUGUUGAAUUCUGGACAUAUUUUAGGGGCAGAGCAGAACUAUGUAAAUGUUAAUGUCAAUGCACCAAAACCACAAUUCAUACAAUAAACUGAUAAAUUGAACUUCAUCAAAACGAAAACUCUUGUGCUUCAAAAGACACUAAAGAAAAUGAAAAGGCAAGCCACAGAAGGAGAGAAAAUAUUUUUAAAGCCUACAUCUGAUAAAGGAUCUGUAUCCAAAUACAUAAAUAACUUUUACAACUCAAUAAUAAGAAGACAAACAACCCAAUUAAUACAUUGACAAAAGGUUUGAAUAGACAUUUCACCAAAGAGGAUAUAUGAAUGGUUAAUAAGCACAUAAAAAGAUGCCCAACAUCAUUAGUCAUUAGGGAAAUGCUAAUUAAAACCACAGUGAAAUACUACUUGGCACCCACUAGAAUGGUUAUAAUCAGAAAGAUAGACAGUACCAAAUGCUGGCAAGAAUAUGGAGAAAUGGGACUCCUCAUGUAUUGUUGAUGGGAAUGUAAAAUGGUACAGCUACUUUAGAAAAUAGUUUGGCAGUUUCUUAAAAAGAUAAACACAAAUUUACUAUACAACCUAGCAAUUAUUCCACUCCUUGUUAUCUACCCAAGAGAAAUGUAAACAGACAUUUACACAAAGGCUAGCAUGUAAAUGUUCAUAGCAGCACUAUUCCUAAUAGCCAAAAAGUGGAAGCAACCCAAACAUCAAUCAACACUACAGUGGAAUACUAUUCAAUAAUAGAAAGGAGGGAAAUACUGAUGCAUGCUACAACAUGGGUGACUCUCAAAAAAAUUAUGCUCAGUGAAAGAAGCCAGACACAAAAGACCA
rnacentral:lncRNA from 1 species